AAAUAAAAUAAAACCUGUGUUAACAGUGCAAAUGAAUUGCACUGUUUACGUCAACAGUGCAAUUCACUGUGAACAGUGCAGUGAAUUGCAUUGUUGCAAUUAAUGUAUAUAGGGAAUGAAAAUUACGUGGAACCCAUGUACAGUAAACUAAUUUUCUUUUUACCAAACGGCUGCAAACUGUGUUUUAAUUAAAACGCAGCCGCAGCCGCAGCGGCGUAAACAAACGGCACCAAAGUAAAGACCUUAGGGAAAGUCAAGGCAUUUGAUGAAGUGAGCAAUAGAGAUCAGGCACAAUGGUUGUGUGGAUGUGUACCCAGGAAUGGAUAAUGGCGUUAAACCCUAAACUUACAUCACCACCAUAGACCUAACUAUCAAAUUUGAAAGGAAGAUAUUGUAAUAUUGCGCAAUGGGACAGUGCCAAGGAGAUGCAUGGUGGCUGUUGAUUAGAAAGCCUGCAAUUCAUACAGGCACUAGUCAUUACAUGAAGCUCAUGUAUGCAGUAUAGAGGAAUCUAUGCAGGAGCUAGCGAUGGUGGAGAGCUGUGAGGAUUAGAUCGAAAAAGUGGUAAAAGCAAGUAAUACUUUAGAACCUGAGUUUGACUCUCAAACCAUAAUUUUCAAAACUCCACCAUCCCUAACUCUCCUGCAUAGAUACUUCUAUACUAAAGUUACAGUAGGAAAUAUAGAAAAUAGGAUAUUCUAUACUAUUAGGACCAAUCUAAACAUAGAAAAUCCUAGUUAGAAUCUUUUAUACUAACAAAGAAAAUAAAUCUACUGAAUAAAAUCCUGGUAAGAAUCAUUUGUGUAUUGAACCAUUUGGACUUGCCAGUAUGUAUUGUCAAAAUGCACCCUUUUCUACUCAUUUUGAUGUGAAAAAUCAGAAAGCCAAAUGCUUUCAAGGAUCCAUUUAAAAUAAUGGCUAACAGCCAAGUGUUCAAAAUGUGCUAGCUUUGUGUUGUGCACAUAGCACAGGCUCCACAUAUGGUUCCUAGGUCAAUAUUGUGUACCUAGGGGCAUGUUUUAGCUCUUAAGCUUCUUGUUCCCUGGCUUAAAAUUAUUCUGCACAUUUUGAUUCUUAACUUUAGCACCUACAAUAUAUGUAUGAUAGCAAUUAAAAUAUCCUGGAGCAGAUGCAUUUAUUUUCAUAAUAAGUGAUUCUAAGGUGUAUGAGACAUAAUAAACUUCUCAGGAUAUAUUAUACCAUCAAACUGAGAAGUUCAAAUGCUU